UCCAUGCAUUGACUUGGGAGCUGAAUCCGACCUUGCAGUUGCAGUCACACACACGCAUCAUAAACGCACAUGUUUCAAUCGCCCCUCGCGAGCUGUGUAGCUUCCAGGCUCACCUCGUCCACAUGCAGAAAUGGCUGCGGAUGCGGAGACACUGUUUCAGUUUCGCCGCUGCCGGUCUUCUUCCUUGGGCUCACGCCGAGGGGAGGAAGGAGGAAGGGAGGCCGCCGCUGCUCACACCCAUGGUCUGCCCGUGGAGGAAGAGUGCCGCGCCGCCCUGUGGAUGCUCACCCGGGUCAAGAACGGCGGCGGCGGCGGCGAGGAGCGCGAGGAGGAGGGUAACGAGCGCGGCCAUGGCGAAGAGGUAGGUGUAGAGCGGCCGCAAGGCCGGCCCCAAGCACUGCCGCAAACUCGACGCCGCCGCGGCCGGAAGCGGAGACGGAGAUGACUGGGCUUGCGAGUUCGGCUCGACGCGUGCGCGCUGGCGCCGUCCGAAGCAGGAGCAGAGCAUUAUUAGCAGGAGGACGAGGAGCUGGUGGCUCCGGCUGCUGCUGGCCUUGGUCAGGACGAUGACAGUAGCUCGUGGGAGAGCGGCAGCUCCGGCGGCGGCUGCAACAUCUUGAAUCUUGACAUUGCGUCGGGUACCAGAGAGCUAGGUCAGCUCCAGCUGCUCUCAGUCAUGGCCUCAUGGGCGGGCGCGCAUCCCACCUGAAGUCCCCGUCAAGCAACUGCUCGACAUCAGCGGCACAGCAGCCUGGCGGCUGAGUGGCAGCCUGGCAGCCUUGGGCAGCGGCGAGCAAGAGAUGGGGGAUAGCCGGACUUGAGGAAGAUGGUGCCGACAGUCUGUCUCGUUCGGCUUGGAGAGUGGGGGCAGAAACGUCCGUUCAAAUGAAACAAGGAAAUUGAGAAAAGUUGGGGAAAAAACACUGUGGGUCCACAAUUUUUUAUUGUUGGGGAGAAAAAUGAAGAACCGUUGGAGAUUGACACUUUUUUCCUCCCCAUAUUUGUUUUGGGAGUUGGCAAAUAUCAAAGUUUAGGAUAAAAAUAUAAGAAAUUGUUGGAGAUGCUCUAAGAUUUCAGUCAACAGUGCUCUACGCGAC